rnacentral:rRNA from 1 species
UACAGAGGGUGCAAGCGUUAAUCGGAAUUACUGGGCGUAAAGCGUGCGUAGGCGGAUACUUAAGUCAGAUGUGAAAGCCCUGGGCUCAACCUAGGAAUUGCAUCUGAUACUGGGUGUCUAGAGUAUGGUAGAGGAUGGCGGAAUUUCCGGUGUAGCGGUGAAAUGCGUAGAUAUCGGAAGGAACACCAGUGGCGAAGGCGGCCGUCUGGGCCAAUACUGACGCUGAGGCACGAAAGCAUGGGUAGCAAACAGG